GGUUUUUCUAGUUAGGAUUCAAAUCAGGCAGCCUCAUCAGAGAAUUUCCGGGCGGCCGGCGCCUUGGCGCUGGGCUCUGUUUGUCGGUCAGACUUGGAGGAGAGUGGGUAAAAAGGAGCAUGCCAAAGCUCGCCAUCCUCUUGAGCAUGUCAGCAUCCUCAGGGUUCUGCUUUGUCUGGGGGUCCUGUCAUGCUGCUUACAUCACCGCUGCGGAAGUUAUCGAAGGAGGACGGGGAGGGAAGCAACGCAGUUCACAUCAUCACACACAAAAGUGCAUAUUAAGGAGGGAGCAUGAUCAUCCCUGACUCAUCAGUUGCAACAACAGCCGCUUGUCUUGUAAAAAUCGGAGGAAAACAGAAAUAGGCCCACAAACCCAGAAAACAAACUCUUGCUUAUCAAAGGGGGGAGGGGAGGUAGGGAAAAAUUAGGAGUUUGGGAUUAAAAGAUAUACACGACUCUUUAUAAAAUAAACAACAAGGACCUCCUAUAUAGCACAGGACCUAUCUGGUGAUAACCUGUAAUGGAAAAGAGUCUGAAAAAAAUAUGUGUGUGUGUGUGUGGAACUGUACACCUGAAACGAACACCACUCUGUACAUAAACUAUACUUAAAUUAGAAAAAAAAUCAGAGUAAGAAGUUCCCUAGUGGGGCAGCGGAUUUAGGAUCCAGCGUUGCUGCAACUGCAGCUUGGCUCAGGUUUGGUCCCUGGCCCAGAAACUUCCACAUGCCAUGGGUGUGGCCAAAAAACCCCCAAAAACAAAACAGAGGAAAACUACCACAUAGCUAUUCAGGGCUUUGGUUUUUGAUGUUGCUCUGUGUGUGUGUAUGGGUGUUAUUUGUUAAGGAAGAAGUGCUGCAAAUUCACUGCAUAGUUAAUGUGAUUCUCAGGCAUUUCUUCUUCCUUCGUGUUACAGUGAACUGCUCCAACCUGAGGAUGAUUUGCUGUGAUAUUACUGCUACUGCUAUAGAUCUCUGUGUUGCUUGAAGCAACUUCAGGAGAAAGGAAGUAGAAAUCUACUGCCAAACUAGACGCCCGAACAACCUGGAUGAGAUAAAGUGCCUUUUAUUCAGAGAUAAGUGUGUGUUUAUUUUACUUUCCCUACUAGAUUACAGCUCGCCUGAGGAUGGAAGUACUGUGGUUUGUUUCGUUUCCAUCUGCCUUUUCCAGAAUCACAGCUCUGGACAUGGCUGGUCAGUAGAUGAAUCAAUGACUGUCUGAGGUUGCUGUACCGACCAUUCGGCGGAGCACGUGUUUAAUGGAGCUCUGCCUACGGUGAGGGUCUGGGGGCGAGCUUUACACUCUGCUGUCACCUGUCGCUGUGCUCGCCUUGGCAAGAGGAUUGGCUGGAGUUAGAGUCAGAUUCGAGCGCUUUGAGAUGACUAAAUAGGUUCAGCUCCAGCAGAGCUAGCUUUUUGCUAGUUAAUUUUUACUGGUAUAAAAGAAUCCUUCUCUUCAUCAGCCUCACUGCUAGCAAACCAGCAGCAGAUGACCUGGAGCACAACACAAGGAAAUUAAGUAGGAGGCAGAGGUGGGGAGGAAGGAGUCUAGGCUUUAGAGUCAUUUUUCUCAAAGCCUUCCCGAGAAGGCAUCUGCGGGGCAGUAUUUUUAUUUUUAUUUUAUUUUUUUGUCUUUUGCUUUUUAGGGUCACAUCCUCAGUUCCCAGGCUAGGGGUCCAAUCAGAGCUGUAGCUGCCAGCCUAUACCACAGUCACUGCAACUCAGGAUCCGAGCUGUGUCUGCGACCUACACCACAGCUCUCUAACCCACUGAGAGAGGCCAGGGAUUGAAUCUGAGUCCUUGUGGAUACUGGUCGGGUUCGUUAACCACUGAGCUGCGACGGGAACUCCUGUGGGGCAGUAUUUUUUAAAAAUACAGCUUCCUGGGCCCCACGUGGGACCCACAGAAUUCCACUCUCCUUCCUCUUGAUUUUUUUGACUUAGGUUUUUUUUCGUUCACAUUAAAAUUUGAGAACCACCACUCUAAAGAAAGGAGAGUUUAAUGUAUUUGGUCAACUUUCAAGAGCCUAAUUCAUGGUCUGUGACACUGGGAAGUUUCACUGACCUUACAGGGUAUUUUUAAAGGCCGUGAGAGCUAUCAUAAGAGUUCCUGUCGUGGCUCAGCAGAAAGGAAUCUGACUAGCAUCCAUGAGGACACAAGUUCCACCCUGGGCUCGCUCAGUGGGUUAGGGAUCUGGCGUUGCUGUGGGCUGCAGCAUAGGUGGCAGAGGCAGCUUGGAGCUGGCAUUGCUGUGGCUGUGUGUAGGCCGGCAGCUGCAGCUCUGAUGCGACCUCUAGCCUGGGACCUUCCAUAUGAUUCAGGUGCGGCCCAAAAAUGAAGAAAAGAGACAUCAUGAUGGUGUAGAAAAGAGGUUUGCCUCUUUAGAGGGCUUGAGAACUGAUCCUGUCAGGUCUUCAAAACCCUCUCUGCUGUUAUAUAAAGAAACACUAAUAACAGCAAACAUCUAUAUAGCAUUUGUUUGAUACCAGGUACUAUUCUAAAUGCUUUACACAGACGAACUCAUUGAUCCCUCUCAACAGCCCUGUGAGGUAGGCCGACCCAUUGUACAGACAGUAAAACAGGCACAGAGAAAUUAGGCAACUGCUCGAGGUUAAAUAGCUGAAUAAACAACUGAAAAGUUUAUUUCAUACUAAAAAUUACUUCUAUAUUCAAAAAAAUUUUCUAUAUUCCAAAUUGUAGGACAGGGAGUCAGGAGACCUGGGAUCUAGCCUGAGUUGCUAUUACUGGUUAGGCAACUGUGGCUGGUCACUUAACUCCCUGGCUCUCAUGCUUCCCCAGUAAAAUGACAUUCUAGAACAUUCUAGAGUCCCUUCUAACAUCUUCUUAGCUUUCAUUGCUAAUCUUCCUCAAAGUAUUUGGUGCACUCAUUAUGCUUUAUUUUUUUAGAACCCCCGUAUGCAUCAAAAAUGACUGUCAUUAUAGAUUUGCUUCAAAGUUAAAGUACUUUAGUUAAAUUCCUACUUUAAAACAUCUGCAUAAAUUAGCUUCUACUAGACAGGGGUAAAUAUUUGAAAGAUAGGUAUUAUCUUUCCAUGGGUUUAUGUAGUUUUCUUUUUCUUUUUUUUUUUAAUUGAAGUAUAGUUGAUUUAUAAUGUGCCAGUUUCUGCUGUAGAGCAAAAUGACUCAGUCAUACAUACAUACAUAUAUAUAUAUUCUUUUACAAUUUUCUCUUUCCUUGUGCACCUGGUGGAAAGGAAGGCUGUUCUGCCCUGGACAUCUCAUGUACCAAAAAAGAGGCUGCCAGAAAUGGAGAGCAGCUCGACUAAUCCAGCCUCGGCGAGUGCUUCCUGUUUGAAAAUGAGGCGAAAGCUUAUCCGACUAUUCCUCUUGCUGUGAAAAUUUCAUCUGUUUUUAUAGAUGCGUUUUCCCAACGGGUGAUCUAGAACCUAUGAGUUAGCCACCCCAAAUGUUUCCUUUUCAUCAUUAUCUAAAGCACAGCCGAGUCUUGAAAAGACAAUUGUAUAGCUUCUUGUGUUGCUUCAUGGGCUUUAAGUGCCCACAAAGAGGAUUCCUUAUGCUUUAAUUUCUCUUUAUUUUUCUGACUGUAAAGACCCUUGGGGUAAAUGCCAGCCCCACAAUCCCGCCGUUAUAUGGUUACUGUCAGCCUGCUCCAAUGAUGCUUCCUGUUCACUAGGGCUCCUUUCAUGUGACCACAAUGUCCUGGCUUUGCUGCAAUUCUUCGUCAACGCCCAUCUCUUCAAUAGCCUGUGAAUAGUAUUAAAUGGUGUUUAUGCUAGCUAUUGUUGCCUUUUGUGUGGUUUGUCUAAUUCACAGAGAAAAGUCUGCUUUUGUGGUCGAAGACCAGCUACGUCAUGGCACACCAUGCGCCUUCUGAUGGGACCCAGUCCUGCUGAGUGAUAACAUUGCAGGUCUGAGCUCCUUUGCAACACAAUCCCGCAUUCUCAGCCCGGUCAAUGCUCUCACAGGCGGACUGGUUUACUCUUUUUAUUCAGGGGUGGGGGGAAGAUAAAGCACAAACAAAUACCAGAUCCCGAAACAAAACAGCAAAGCUGGGUUAGUUCAAGCGAUUUGCAACUUAGCCCAGCAAGAAGUGAGAAGGCACGUGAACAGAAAGUCACAGAUGUAUUCUGGUAGCAACCAGACGUGCCAGGUGGACCCACCGUGUCAGCAAAUACUUCACAUGUCGGGAGUAAGAUGGCAUUAUGGUUUCAAGGUAUUGUUUAAAAUGACACUUAAUACCAGAGUCACCACUCUGCCGGGCUUUUUCUAAAGUGCUCACAAAAGAGAAAAGCUAGAGUGUUGGUGCUGACAUUAGCCUCUGGUUCAAGAGUCUUUGCAGGGCAGGUAUGUUGCUACGUCUUGAAAGGGCUUUUGAUGUAAGAAGAUCAUUAUGGGCUCAGUGGUAACAGAUCCCCGGUAGCCCUGGUUUUUGCUGCCGUGGGUCAUUUUAUCCUGUCGCUCUGCGUAAUCCAUUUUCCAGCUAUCUGCAAUCUUUUGUAUACCCCUAACAGUGGCUUAUGUUUUAGGUUUUUUUUUUUUUUUUUUUUUCCUUUGGGAAGAAAAGUGCUUCCCAGACAAGAAGAGUCAGGUGCACAGAAAGGGAAAAGAGUGGAUUGUUAGCAGAAAGCAUGCCUUUUGGUUUAGAAAAUUUGUUUUUAAAUUAUGGGUACAGCUCGUUUUCCUCACGUCUUUCUCCUCACUGACAUAAAAACCAACCCAGAGAUAACACU
rnacentral:lncRNA from 9 species